UACGUAGGUGGCAAGCGUUGUCCGGAAUUAUUGGGCGUAAAGCGCGCGCAGGCGGCUUGGUAAGUCUGAUGUGAAAGCCCACGGCUCAACCGUGGAGGGUCAUUGGAAACUGCUAAGCUUGAGUGCAGAAGAGGAGAGUGGAAUUCCACGUGUAGCGGUGAAAUGCGUAGAGAUGUGGAGGAACACCAGUGGCGAAGGCGAGUCUCUGGGCUGUAUCUGACGCUGAUGCGCGAAAGCUAGGGGAGCAAACGGG
rnacentral:rRNA from 1 species